rnacentral:lncRNA from 1 species
AUGGAACUACAGACUCUCAUACUAAGUGAAGUUAAGUCAGAAAGAGAAAGACAAAUACCAUCUGAUAUCACUUAUAUCUGGAAUCUAAUAUACAACAUAAAUGAACUUUUCUGCAGAAAAGAAACUCGUGGACUUGGAAACAGACUUGUGGUUGCCAAGGGGGAUGGACUGGGAAUUUGGGGUUAAUAGGUGCAAACUAUUGCCUUUGGAAUGGAUAAGCAAUGAGAUCCUGCUAUAUAGCGCUGGGAACUACAUCUAGUCACUUACGAUGGAGCAUGAUAAUGUGAGAAAAAAGAAUAUAUACAUGUAUGUCUGAUUGGGUCACCUUGCUGUACAGUAGGAAAUUGACAUAACAUUGUAAACCAGCUAUAAUGGAAAAAACAAAAAUCAUUAUAAAAAAAUAAAACUUACUUUUUGUAUAAAAGUGGUACAGAACUGACGUUUCCUGAGGCACAGUGGGUUAUGGAUCCAGCAGUGUCACUGCUGUAGCUUGGGUUGCUGCUUCAGCGAGGAUUCGAGCCCUGGCCCAGAAACUUCCAUAUGCCAAGGGUGUGACCAUUAAAAAAAAGGAUGUGGGAGUUCCCUUUGUGGCUCAGUGGUUAAUGAAACCGACUAGCAUCCAUCCAUGAGAACUCGGGUCUGAUCCCUGGCCUCACUCCGUGGGUUAAGGAUCUGGCGUUGCCAUGAGCUGUGGUGUAGGUUGCAGAUGUGGCUCAGAUCCCACGUUGUUGUGGCUGUGGUGUAGGCCAGCAGCUAUAGCUCCAAUUCGAUCCCUACCCUGGGAACAUCCAUAUGCCCCUGGAGUGGCCUUAAACAACAACAACAAAAAAAUGAUGGGGCAAAAGGAAUUAAGCCUUGUUGAGGGCCCCCUAUAGGUCUGGCACUGGGCUAAGAAAUGCAGGCACUUUGUCCCACCACACACCCACUGCAUAAUGAGUCUUUGGAUAACUGGUAUAAACUUCAUGAAGGCAGAAAGGGCUUGAUAACCAGCAGGUCUCCAGGUUCUCAAAUAGCACCUGGUACACAUUCCGUAAAUAUCUGUUGGCUGUAGGGAUGAAUGAAUGGAAAGCCAGCUGGCUGGUGGAUAAAUGAACAGCUAUUUGUAAUAACAAUAUUGUUCUAGCCCUGCAGAAGGAAAGAGAGCCUGGCAGCUUAGGAGACAGGGAGCAAGAAAUGGUCUCCAAGCCACUGUAUUCCCUUCCGCAAAUACAAGAUAUUACAGGAGAGGGGGCAAAGCAUGGGCUUCAUCGCCAGACCUGGAUGGGAUGCCAAGUUUCAGGCUUCCCUUUCAUAUGUCCCUGGACAGAUUACUAGCCCAUGGCGGAAAUAUAGAGACCAAUUCUUUAAUUUUGAAGUUGUAAAAAAGCUUAACUAAAAUAACAUCUAUAGAGGACCUGGCAAGUAGCUAACACACAAGUAGUUAAUAAAUAUAAACCUCCCUGUUACUGGGCCAAAAGAAAUGACCCCAGUGCUGACAGUCUUGGUCUUAAGGAUAAGGCCCAAGGGAGGGGUCGCAGCAAAAGGAAUUUUCGAGUAGUUCAUGGCAGGACAGCUCUUGAAUCACUGUGUAACUAUCAAUCCAAAGGCCCAGUUCAUAUUAUCAUGUUGGAGAAGUUAACAAUCAUAGCAUGAGUCUACAUACCUAGAAUUCAAAAGGAUACAGGACUCUGCAAGUACAAGGAAAUAUAAAACAAAACAACUAGGCUAUACCCGUGCUUGACAAUUUCCAACUUGCCAAAAUUGGGCACGCCUUUCUUUGCUAUUCUGUCAAAGCUACUUUAUUGACAAUAUUUGAAGUAUAUUUCAUUGAUUUGAUGAAAUUAUGCAACAUCAAAAAUACUAUGUGAGAAAAAUUUCCUAAAGGUCCCAUCCAGGCUCCAUCUCUAAGAGAACAAGAUAAUUGCACAUUUGCCUAUAAUUAUGCCCUCAUGUGUUUUCUCUUUCAUAUUUAAUAGCAUCAUAUCAAUGCAGCCCAAUUAUAAAAGUGACUAACACUCCCAAACUUCUUAUCCAUAACAGAAAAGGUGGAAAUAAUUUUUUAAUAAGUUCUAAUAUGUUUCCUCUUUUGAGACAGGAGCAAAAUAAACUACAAAUUUUCUUAACUACCUUUCUAGUUAUUACUUAUCUAUCAGUGGAAACGAAUCUGACCAGGAACCAUGAGGUGGCGGGUUCAAUCCCUGGCCUUGAUCAGUGGGUUAAGGAUCUGGCAUUGUCGUGAGCUGUGGUGGAGGUUGCAGACAUGGCUCAGGUCUGGCGUUGCAGUGGCUCUGGUGUAGGCCAGUGGCUACAGCUCCGAUUCGACCGCUAGCCUGGGAACUUCCAUAUGCUGUGGGUG